CAGCAGAAAAGAGACUGGAUCACCAGGCAGCCCCGCCCACAGCUGGCACCUUCCUGACAUUUCUGCAGCCGUGGCCAGGAACUCAAUGGGCUGUGAACACGGAUUAUCCCCUCACCCCAGAAGCGAUCCCUGCGGGCCGAGCUGCAGGACGUUAGCAGAAUGAAUGAUACGCGGAAGGUACCCCAUUCCUGGCUGCUGCUCCGUCUGCUGUGGGGCUGGAGGGGCUGCCUUGAGGUCAAGGUUGUGGACCUGACCCUGGGGAGAAGCACCGCGUUCGCUGGGGAGCCCGCUCUUUGGCCAGCUGUCUGGGCAGCUGUACUGAGAGUACAUGGCUGUGCUACAUUAAAUGUGCCAAAGGUACAGUCAAUUCACACUAUGGAACCACUUCCAGAGGACUUUGGAUUUCACAAGAGGAACUGUCAGUGGGAACUUUGGGAAACUUCAAAUUUCCCAGUUCCAGGCCCAAGUGCUUCAGUAACACAUUGUUCCCCCAGCAAUUGACCAGAAUAAACUUAAGAAACUUUCCAGUAGACACCCAAAAUGACAGGACAAUCGAGUGUAUUGCUUCAACGGUCACUGAACAAGGUAAGGAUUUCCUACAGUUGUAAGUGAAACGUUGCUUUUUGCUGGUGAGUUAUGAGCAUCCUAAGUAGGGCUCUGCAGGCAUACUCUCAUUGAUUAGGAAAAGAGUUUUAAGAAAUGAGAGCUGGGACUUCCCUUGUGGUCCAGCGGUUGGAAUACUGCCUCCCAAGGCAGGGGACACUGGUUCAAUCCCUGCUUGGGGAAGAUCCCACAUGCCGCGGGGCAGCUAGGUCUGUGUGCCACAACUACUGAGCCCACACUCUAGAGCCCACGUGCCACAACCACUAAAGCUCAUGCACCCUAGAACCUGUGUUCCACAAUAAGAGAAGCCACUGCAACGAGAAGCCCUCACAUCACAAUGGAGAGUAGCCCCUACUCAGUGCAACUAGAGAAUGCCUGUGUGCAGCCAUAAGGACCCAGCACAG
rnacentral:lncRNA from 1 species